GGUGAACCUGCGGAAGGAUCAUUGUCGAAACCUGCAAGGCAGAACGACCCGUGGACCAGUUAUAGCUCCUCAUCGUCGAGCGGCGGGGCCUCCGUGCCCACCGCUCGUCGCCCCAGGGCUAGCGUMGUGGGCCGAGCCCGCGCACGCUAUCCAUGGGUGCAUAGAACAAACCCCGGCGCGGAUCGCGCCAAGGAACAAGGAAGAAUGAGAGACGUGCUCCCAUGGUCCCGGAUACGGUGCGCCACGGGGGCAGCGUCGUCGAUGUAAAUAUUCGAAACGACUCUCGGCAACGGAUAUCUCGGCUCUCGCAUCGAUGAAGAACGUAGCGAAAUGCGAUACUUGGUGUGAAUUGCAGAAUCCCGUGAACCAUCGAGUUUUUGAACGCAAGUUGCGCCCGAAGCCAUCUGGCCGAGGGCACGUCUGCCUGGGUGUCAAGAAACGUCGCCAAACGUCCCUCUUCGAGGGCGGGCGGAUAUUGGCCUCCCGUGCGCGAUUGCUCGCGGUUGGCCCAAAAGAGAGUACCCCGGCGAGGCAGCCACGACGUGCGGUGGUAGAAAGCGUAUGCUCUCCUCGAACACCGUCGUGGGUCGACCUCGUGGGGGCAGGAAAGGCUAAGGCCCCGAUGCGAAGUCGUGUUUCGCGAAGCGACC
rnacentral:rRNA from 1 species